UACGUAGGUGGCAAGCGUUGUUCGGAAUUAUUGGGCGUAAAGGGUGCGCAGGCGGUUGGGUGUGUCAGAUGUGAAAUCCCGAGGCUCAACCUCGGAACUGCGUUUGAAACUACUCGACUAGAGUACUGGAGAGGGUAACGGAAUUCACGGUGUAGCAGUGAAAUGCGUAGAUAUCGGGAGGAACACCUGAGGCGAAGGCGGGCUACUGGGCCGAUACUGACGCUGAGGCGCGAAAGCCAGGGGAGCAAACGGG
rnacentral:rRNA from 1 species